UAGCUUGCUAAUGAAAUUCUUAGUGGCGGACGGGUUAGUAACACGUGAGAAUCCUACCCUUGAGUGGGGAAUAGCCUUUCGAAAGGAAGAUUAAUGCCCCAUAGUCUCUACGGAGUAAAGAUGCCUUCGGGUGUCGCUUAAGGAUGGGCUCGCGGCCUAUCAGCUAGUUGGUGAGGUAAGAGCUCACCAAGGCAACGACGGGUAGCUGGUCUGAGAGGACGAUCAGCAACACUGGAACUGAGACACGGUCCAGACACCUACGGGUGGCAGCAGUCGAGAAUCAUUCACAAUGGACGAAAGUCUGAUGGUGCAACGCCGCGUGGAGGAUGACGGCCCUAGGGUUGUAAACUCCUGUCAUCAGGGAGUAAGACUUAUUCGUUAAUAGCGUGUAAGUUUGAUAGUACCUGAAGAGGAAGGGACGGCUAACUUCGUGCCAGCAGCCGCGGUAAUACGAAGGUCCCAAGCGUUGUUCGGAAUAACUGGGCGUAAAGCGUGUGUAG
rnacentral:rRNA from 1 species